rnacentral:rRNA from 1 species
UAGGGAAUCUUCCGCAAUGGACGCAAGUCUGACGGAGCAACGCCGCGUGCGUGAAGAAGGACUUCGGUUCGUAAAACUCUGUUGUUAGAGAAGAACAGCGCAUAGCGUAACUGUUAUGCGUGUGCCGGUAUCUAACCAGAAAGCCACGGCUAACUACGUGCCAGCAGCCGCGGUAAUACGUAGGUGGCAAGCGUUGUCCGGAUUUAUUGGGCGUAAAGCGAGCGCUGGCGGUCAAUUAAGUCUGAAGUGAAAGCCCCCGGCUCAACCGGGGAGGGUCAUUAGAAACUAGUUGACUUGAGUGCAGAAGAGGAGAGUGGAAUUCCAUGGGUAGCGGUGAAAUGCGUAGAUAUAUGGAGGAUCACCAAUGGCGAAGGCGACUCUCUGGUCUGUAACUGACGCUGAGGCUCGAAAGCGUGGGUAGCAAUCAUG